UUAGAAGGCUGUAAUUCAAAGCUUAACGUUUCUGCAGCCUUAGGAGACAAUCUCAGGACUAUGACCUGUCCUGGAGCUGUUUCCUCAGAUGAACAGCCUCUGCAACUGGAUGAUAUGAGUCUGACCUACCAGGUUAGGGAUGAGCAGUGGGAGGUCAGGCAGGCAUCCAGGCUCCUAGUCAAGUCUUAAAGAUGUCACUUGUAACCAUCAGCACAACCACUGUGAAUGAUGUGGUGUCUUUGAAGGACCAGGGCAUGGAGAAAAUGGGCAGAACACGACGAUUUGGAAGAGUUGAAGCCCUGAUGGCGCUGGCAGGAUCAGGUGGAUGUUAUAACGGGGCUAGUGGCAGAAGACUCCAGGGUCCUGCAGGGAAAACAAGAUGUAAAGAGAAGAGCCCUGCUCACAACAAUCGAGAGACAAGGGGUUGACAGCUAACAGCCUGCCUUUGGUCUCACGAGAAGCUUUCAGUUUGGACUUUUGAGGACACCUGGAGAUGAAUUCACUUUGUAUGAAAUGGCCACAAGCUUUCAAGGGUCGGGGGCAGGAAGCUACAGUUUGAGUAGGAAAUGUUCCCCACAGGGCGGAUUUGAACACCUGGUCCCCAGGAGAUGGUGUGCCUUGGGAUUUUCACAGACUUCCGCAGGUGAAACCUAGUUGGAGGAGGUAGGCUGCUAGAGGCAUGGUUUUGGAAGCUAGCCUGGCUGCCAGCUCGCUCUUCAGUGUCUUCCAUGAGGUGCACAGCCUCUUCCUUCACAAAUUCCCACCACCAUGAUGUUCUGCCUUCCCACGAGCCCAGAAGCAACAAUCAAGUACUGCAAACCCCACGAAACCAUGAGCUAAAGCGUUUGUCAGUUUUAUGUCAGCUCAACACAGCUAGAGUCAUCAGAGAGGAGGGAACCUCAGUUAAGGGAGAGCCUGAGUUUGGAACACCCUCGUCCAUGCCUCUGCUGCACAGGGGGCAGCCAUUUCUCUGUUUUGAUCCGUGUACUGAAAUGGCUCGUCUUCAGAAUAUGGUGCAUUCCAUUCACUAGAGGAGGCUGGAUGGUGUUGCAGGCUCUGAUGGUCUAACCUUCUUCCAACAGUGGACAGGCAUUGCCAGUGUCUCUUCAUUUACCAGCUAUGCACUUUCAAGCUUCUUGGUAUUUCCAGAGUGGCACCUUGGUGUCAUCUUUUUAAUGAGGAUGAUCAGGGAUUCACGUUUACUUGCCAUUCACUUCCUCUUCUGUGUGUGGAUACCCAGGCCUCAUUGGGUUAUCUGUUUCCUUCUGCUGUGAGGAGUCCAGGCAUCUGUAUGUCUUUGAUGAGCAGGAAUCCCUGAUCGUAUUUCAUUGCAGAUGUAUAUUCCAGCUUGUAGACUCCCUUUUCAUUUUAAAAAAAAUUAUUUUUACUAAUGUGUGUAUAUAUGUGAGUGUGUGCAACUGGUCAUGAAAGCCAGAAGAAGGUGCCAUGGCCCCUGGAGCUGGGGUUACAGUUGUGACCCUCUUCACAUGGGUGGGAACCGAAUUGUGGUUCUCUGUAAGAGCAUCAAGUCCUCUUAACAUGCCAACUCUCCAGCACCACCACCACCCUUUUCUUUUCUUUCUUUUGGUUGCUCUUUUCCAAACAGGAAAGCUAUUCUCCCUUUUAAGGAACAUACUUCUUAAGUUGAUUACAAUUGAAUUUAUCAGUCUUCCAUUAUAGCUCCUAUGCAAUAUCAGAAACUCACAUGGGAUGUAGUGGCAAAGGUUGAAAAUGAGCCAGAUCUUCACAGGAGAACACGUAGCACACUGCAUUGUACUCAUGCAGCACAGCACUGCACCUUUGAAUCUGUCUGUGGCAGGUCACGUGAACCCACAUGGGCAAACCUCAUCCAUGCCAACUGAAACUAACAAGCAGCCCGUGGAAGGGCACACAGCAUGAGGGGGUCCACUUAGAACAAGUCUCGGGGGUCACUGUACACAGCUUUUCCCAAGUUUCUGAAGAGAUAGUGUUCAUGGCAGAGGUUGACUCCUGGGAGGGAGAGGCAAGGUCUGGAGGCCUUCCUCAGCCUUCAGAGAUCCCAGUGAGGACUGGCUCUGUCCUCUGAGGUAAUGAGUGCGAAGUUGUUCAUUUUUGUCCCUUUCUUUUUUUUUUAAGGUGUAUUUUUAUUUUUAUUUGUUUACAUGCCUGUGUCUAUCACGUGUGUGUCGUAUCUGUAGAGGCCGGAAGAGGGACUCUGAUCCCUUGAACUGGAGUUUCAGGUGGACCAGCUGCUAUGGAUGGGGGCUUGAACCAAGCGCGGUCCUCUGCAAGAGCAGCAAGCACUCGUUUUUUUGAGACAGGGUUUCUCUGUGUAGUUUUGGUGCCUAUCCUGGAUCUCGCUCUGUAGACCAGGCUGGCCUCAAACUCACAGAUCUACCUGGCUCUGCUGGGGUUAAAGGUGUGAGUCACAGUCCCCAGCUCAGCCAGCACUCUAAAUUACUAACUGUUGAGGCAUUUCUC